CGAACGCUGGCGGCAGGCUUAACACAUGCAAGUCGAACGCGCCCUUCGGGGCGAGUGGCAGACGGGUGAGUAACGCGUGGGAACCUACCUUUCGGUUCGGAAUAACCCAGGGAAACUUGGGCUAAUACCGGAUGCGCCCUUUGGGGGAAAGAUUUAUCGCCGAAAGAUGGGCCCGCGUCGGAUUAGCUAGUUGGUGGGGUAAUGGCCUACCAAGGCGACGAUCCGUAGCUGGUCUGAGAGGAUGAUCAGCCACACUGGGACUGAGACACGGCCCAGACUCCUACGGGAGGCAGCAGUGGGGAAUAUUGGACAAUGGGGGCAACCCUGAUCCAGCCAUGCCGCGUGAGUGAUGAAGGCCUUAGGGUUGUAAAGCUCUUUCACCGGUGAAGAUAAUGACGUAACCGG
rnacentral:rRNA from 1 species